rnacentral:rRNA from 1 species
AUGAACGCUGGCGGCGUGCCUAAUCCCUGCAAGUCGAGCGAACAGACGAGGAGCUUGCUCCUCUGACGUUAGCGGCGGACGGGUGAGUAACACGUGGAUAACCUACCUAUAAGACUGGGAUAACUUCGGGAAACCGGAGUUAAUACCGGAUAAUAUAUUGAACCGCAUGGUUCAAUAGUGAAAGACGGUUUUGCUGUCACUUAUAGAUGGAUCCGCGCCGCAUUAGCUAGUUGGUAAGGUAACGGCUUACCAAGGCAACGAUGCGUAGCCGACCUGAGAGGGUGAUCGGCCACACUGGAACUGAGACACGGUCCAGACUCCUACGGGAGGCAGCAGUAGGGAAUCUUCCGCAAUGGGCGAAAGCCUGACGGAGCAACGCCGCGUGAGUGAUGAAGGUCUUCGGAUCGUAAAACUCUGUUAUUAGGGAAGAACAAAUGUGUAAGUAACUAUGCACGUCUUGACGGUACCUAAUCAGAAAGCCACGGCUAACUACGUG